rnacentral:tRNA from 1 species
AAUUAGCUCAGUCGGUAGAGCACUCGGCUGUUAACCGAUAGGUCGUAGGUUCGAGCCCUACAUU